rnacentral:rRNA from 1 species
UACGGAGGAUGCGAGCGUUAUCCGGAUUUAUUGGGUUUAAAGGGUGCGUAGGCGGUCCGGAAAGUCAGCGGUAAAAGCCCGGGGCUCAACCCCGGCGAGCCGCUGAAACUGUCGGACUAGAGACGGCGAGAAGUACGCGGAAUGCGCGGUGUAGCGGUGAAAUGCAUAGAUAUCGCGCAGAACUCCGAUUGCGAAGGCAGCGUACCGGCGCCGGACUGACGCUGAGGCACGAAAGCGUGGGUAUCGAACAGG